GUCACCAUCCUCUAACUGGUUAGGAGGGCGGCCUCUCAAGCCGCAAAUAGCAGUUCAAGCCUGCUUGGUGACGCCA
rnacentral:tRNA from 1 species